CACGAAUAGAAAACACGUAAACAGCUGAUUUUUAACAUCAGCGAAAAUGCCAAAACAACAAAAUUAUUGCAUUUGUUCGCACAAAAAUAAUAUUUAUAUUAAAAAAGCAGCUGCAAUGCAAUACAACACCUCAUAUAUGAUGCAAAAACUCGUGGACUCGUGAGAAAACAGGAACGUGGAAACCGAGGCCUACAAUUAAGCAGAAAUCAAUCAAUUAAUGCUUGUUACUUGCUCGACUACGGAAUACAACGGAUUUCCGGGGUAAGCGCAGUACGAAUCCGAAAGAGAUGGCAUAUGGCGACGCGUCCUACACCGAUUAGAGGGAAUAAGCGCGAUUCUCAACAAAUCGUAUUGCGAUGAAGGAGGACGGAGAACUGGAGCGUGGUUCAUAAUGUCAAACAUGACGGAAACGACAUCAUGUGGAAGCAUUUCCCCAAAGGAUUCUACCAAAAUCUCAAAGGUUAUAUAUCGAUAUUACAAAAAUAUGAGGGAAUAUCGAAGUUCGACCCGUUUACCCAGAGAACGAUUGGAACUCACUUUCAAAUUUGAUAAUACCAAAUGUCCAAAUUACUUCAAUUUAUUGGAAUUAGAUCGAACUCCUCGACUUGAGUAAUUUCAAUUUUAGUUUAAAAUAAAAUGUUUUAAGUAUUCUUAAAUAGUUAUUGUACGCAUCUAAGAAGUUAUGAGAUCUUCAACUGUCGAAACCUGUGCAGUUGUGCCUUUUGGAAAGCUUUGCCUGUCUUUAAGGACCAACAAUUGGAAAAAGGACCUAGUCCUACUUGCCCCAAAAGCCAGCAAUGAAGACACAUUGAUGCGAGCACGGAUCAAUAGAAACCCGCGUCCGAAAUCUACAUUAAGAAAAUAGACUAAAAAUUGUUCUGUGGUUCCAAA